GGAGGUUUUGUUGGUGGGAAGGGUGAAUGGGCAAAAAUAUCUUUGUUGGCGGAUGUUUUGGUGAAUGGGUGAAUUAGGUUUCAAGAAGCAUUAGGUUUCGCGGAGGUUUUUUUGGCGGUAUCUUUGUCAAUCAUUUUGUUCGUUCAAGGUACCUUCAUGUAAAAAUAUUCCUUAAGCUACCUCAUGAUCUGUUUUUUAAAAAAAUCAUCACUAAAAUUAUUGGGUGGGACAAAGGAGGGCUAAAGGAGGGCUAAAGGUGUCCGCCAUCCAGUACAAUACACGAGCCUUUGACAUUUAUUUGAAUUUUUUGUUUAAUACAUGGGUCUAGCCCACGUAUUCUAACAAGCAAAUGGGCACCCGGAUACCAAAUGAUACAUAGUACAACACUUCAUGGGAAGUGAGAAGACUAAUUAGUGUUGGAGACGGCCACAAUUAACGAUCUUUCGUCCAAC
rnacentral:lncRNA from 1 species